UACGUAGGGUGCAAGCGUUAUCCGGAAUUAUUGGGCGUAAAGAGCUCGUAGGCGGUUUGUGGCGUCUGCCGUGAAAGUCCGGGGCUCAACUCCGGAUCUGCGGUGGGUACGGGCAGACUAGAGUGAUGUAGGGGAGACUGGAAUUCCCGGUGUAGCGGUGAAAUGCGCAGAUAUCAGGAGGAACACCGAUGGCGAAGGCAGGUCUCUGGGCAUUAACUGACGCUGAGGAGCGAAAGCAUGGGGAGCGAACAGG
rnacentral:rRNA from 1 species